ACUCCUACGGGAGGCAGCAGUGGGGAAUAUUGGACAAUGGGGGAAACCCUGAUCCAGCCAUGCCGCGUGUGUGAAGAAGGCCUUCGGGUUGUAAAGCACUUUCAGUGGGGAGGAAAGGUUGAUGGUUAAUACCUAUCAGCUGUGACGUACCCAUCAGAUGAAGCACCGGCUAACUCCGUGCCAGCAGCCGCGGUAAUACGGAGGGUGCAAGCGUUAAUCGGAAUUACUGGGCGUAAAGCGUGCGCAGGCGGUCUGUUAAGCGAGAUGUGAAAGCCCCGGGCUCAACCUGGGAACUGCAUUUCGAACUGGCAGACUAGAGUCUUGUAGAGGGGGUAGAAUUCCAGGU
rnacentral:rRNA from 1 species